CACGGGUGCGUAACGCGGUGGGAACCUCGCCCUUUAGGUUCGGAAUAACUCAGAAGUAAAUUUGGAGCUAAUACCGGAUAAUGUCUUCGGAACCAAAGAUUUAUCGCCUUUGGAUGGGCCCGCGUUGGAUUAGCUAGUUGGUGGGGUAAAGGCCUACCAAGGCGACGAUCCAUAGCUGGUCUGAGAGGAUGAUCAGCCACACUGGGACUGAGACACGGCCCAGACUCCUACGGGAGGCAGCAGGUGGGGAAUAUUGGACAAUGGGCGAAAGCCUGAUCCAGCAAUGCCGCGUGAGUGAUGAAGGCCUUAGGGUUGUAAAGCUCUUUUACUGGGGAUGAUAAUGACAGUACCCAGAGAAUAAGCUCCGGCUAACUCCGUG
rnacentral:rRNA from 1 species